rnacentral:rRNA from 1 species
AUUGAACGCUGGCGGCAGGCCUAACACAUGCAAGUCGAGCGAGCGGCGGACGGGUGAGUAAUGUAUGGGAAACUGCCUGAUGGAGGGGGAUAACUCCUGGAAACGGUAGCUAAUACCGCAUACCAUCCGAUGAGCCCAGAUGGGAUUAGCGAGUAGGUGGGGUAAAGGCUCACCUAGGCGACGAUCCCUAGCUGGUCUGAGAGGAUGAACAGCCACACUGGGACUGAGACACGGUCCAGACUCCUACGGGAGGCAGCAGUGGGGAAUAUUGCACAAUGGGCGCAAGCCUGAUGCAGCCAUGCCGCGUGUAUGAAGAAGGCCUUCGGGUUGUAAAGUACUUUCAGCGGGGAGGCGUUACCCUCAGAAGAAGCACCGGCUAACUCCGUGCCAGCAGCCGCGGUAAUUC